rnacentral:rRNA from 1 species
AAUGAACGUUGGCGGCGUGGAUUAGGCAUGCAAGUCGAGCGUACCCAGCAAUGGGGAAGCGGCAAACGGGGUAGUAAUGCGUCGGUACGUGCCCUCGGGACGAGGAUAGCCACGGGAAACUGUGGGUAAUACUCGAUGAUCUCGUGAGAGCAAAGGUGUGACUCCGCCGGAGGAGCGGCUGACGUGGUAUUAGGUAGUUGGUAGGGUAAUGGCCUACCAAGCCUGGGAUGCCUAGGGGGUGUGAGAGCAUGGCCCCCACCAUUGGGACUGAGAAACUGCCCAGACACCUACGGGUGGCUGCAGUCGAGGAUCUUCGGCAAUGGGCGCAAGCCUGACCGAGCGACGCCGCGUGCGGGAUGAAGGCCUUCGGGUUGUAAACCGCUGUCAGGGGGGAUGAAAUCAUGGUGGGUACUCCCAUCAUGUUGACAGAGCCCCAGAGGAAGCGCGGGCUAAGUUCGUGCCAG